UACGGAGGGGGCGAGCGUUAUUCGGAAUUAUUGGGCGUAAAGGGCGCGUAGGCGGCGCGAUAAGUCAAAGGUGAAAUCCCUCGGCUCAACUGAGGAACUGCCUUUGAGACUGUCGUGCUCGAGGCCGGGAGGGGGUAGCGGAAUUCCUAGUGUAGCGGUGAAAUGCGUAGAUAUUGGGAGGAACACCAGUGGCGAAGGCGGCUACCUGGACCGGUUCUGACGCUGAUGCGCGAAAGCGUGGGUAGCAAACAGG
rnacentral:rRNA from 1 species